GUCUCUGUGGCUCAGUUGGAAGAGCGUUGGUCUCAUAAUCCAAAGGUCGCAAGUUCGAGCCUUGCCAGGGACA